AGUCGAUGAUUGCUAAGCGUCGCCGAGUUGGGAGUGUCUUCAGCCCUAAGGCAGCAUCAGAGAUCAUAAUCUUCUGCUCUCGUGGCAAGAAAUUUGUGCGGAUAGAGUUGAUACACCUCACUUGAAGUUGGCCUGGAGAAAAGAGGCGUCGGACUCCUGGACGGGGUUGGGAAACGGUCACCAGUUUCGGCUCAAAGCAGCCUGUUUCCAGGAGACCGCCAUGGUCGAGGCAGCGUCCUGGUCCCACGGUGCGGGGCCGGACGAUCAUUUAUGGGAUAUAAAUAAAAGGACUAUGAGGUGGUAAAUAAAAGACUACCAACUAGAAGCCAUAGGGAGUCAUUUGAAGGAGAAAUAGGCACGGCUCAUCUGUGGUUGAGGGAAAGGGAUCUUGAAAGAUGAUUAGGAGAACUUGGGUUCUGGGGAAAGUGCGGGAAGACAUUCUGGCAGAGAAGCAAACGUGAGGAAAGAGUUUUGCUCUUGUUGCCCAGGCUGGAGUACAAUGGCGCAACCUCGGCUCACCACAACCUCCGCUUCCCAGGUUCAAGCGAUUCUCCUGCCUCAGCCUCCUGAGUCGCUGGGAUUACAGGAAUGUGCCACCAUGCCCGGCUAGUUUUGUAUUUUUAUUAGAGACUGGGUUUCUCCAUGUUGGUCAGGCUGGUCUCGAACUCCUGAUCUCAGGUGAUCCACCUGCCUCGGCCACCCAAAGUGCUGGGAUUACAGGCAUGAGCUACCAUGCCCAGAGAAUUCCAGGUAAUUCUCAUGGUGAAUGAAUUCCAUUCAUACUGUUGUUCUUCAGUCUGCCAAAUGGAUAUUACAUAACACAUUUGUGUGCCAUGAUGGGCCUUACAUAUAUUGACUCAUGUAAUUCUCACAACUUUAUGAGGUGGUAUUAGUCGCAUUUUCAUUUCAUGAAAUUGAGGCACAAAAAAAUUAGACAUGUUGAAGAUCAUACAUCAUCCCUCACCUGGGCUACAAUAGCCUCUUAACUAAUCUCUGCUUCUCCUCUUGUCCACACAACAGCCAGAGAACCUUUAAAUAUGUUAAGUAUGUCAAGCCUCUGCUCAAACUGAGUUUUUCCUGUCACACUUCAGUGUGGCCUAUAGGCCCUAAGUGAUGUAGCCUUUGCUUAUAUUGUCUUCCACUCUCAUCCUUGUUCACAGAGCUCUAGCAAUUCUCAUGUUUGGAGGUCCUCAAGGCAAAACUCAGCUUUAUUUCCCAUUCCCUUAGUAUGGAAAGCUAUUUCCCUAUCUGUGUGUCUUGCUUUUACAUCAUUGCUCUGCUCUCCUCAAAAACCUUCCCCUCUUAUCCCCAUCACCGUCCUCAUUUUGAUUCUUCAUAUACAUUUAUCCUUUCCUGAUUUUAUACUGUUUACCUUUUUAUGGUUUGUUUUCCCCUCUAAAACAUAAGUUCCAUCUGGACAAGGGCUUUGCUCAGUCCUAUUUUCCUAGGCCCUAGAAUCAAACCAGUAUUGGGUGAAUGGAUACUGAAUGAAGCUUUACCUAAGUGCUUUGUCUUUUACUUAGUUUCAGUGGUUAAAUCUCAGAAAGCUUAACAGCAAUUCUAAGCAUGUCUUUAUCAUAAAAGGUUAAAAACUGUAUUAUUGGGAUAUUUUUUCUCUUUUUAUGUUUACCUACAAGCCCGUAGAAAGUAUAAAUACUCAAAAGAUAGCAGACCAGGUAGGCUUAAGUUACUUUUACAAAACAGUAGAAAUACCUUCAAAUAUUUAGCACUGAUGAACUUACUACUGAGGACAUGUGGACUCUACUAAGAAACUAAUGAUGAAAUUCAUAAUUGGGUGUGGUAGCACAUGCACCCAGCUACUCGAGAGGCUGCAGCUUGAGUCCAGGAGUUCAAGGCUGCAGGGAGCCAUAAUCAUGCCACUGCACUCCAGCCUGGGAGACAGUGAGAACUUGGCUCUUAAAAAAAAAAAGGAAAAAAAAUUGAUAACGACAAUUUGUAAUGGUCAGUCCUAUCCACCAGUCUAAAUGAAAGUUUAAAAAUUUUCAUAUACUGCACAGAAGUAGAUGGAGUCUUAAUGCUAGGUAAGGGUAAACAAGCUGAAAUAGCAGUCAGUGACUUCAGAGACCAUGAAACCAAAGUUAAUCUUCUAAGUCCUUUUAAUUGUUCUUAUAAACUAGCAUAAGAUAUAAA